UGAGUAACCUGCCCCUGACUCUGGGAUAACCGCUGGAAACGGCGGCUAAUACCGGAUAUGAACCUUCCUCGCAUGGGGUUGGUUGGAAAGAUUUUUUGGUCAGGGAUGGACUCGCGGCCUAUCAGCUUGUUGGUGGGGUGAUGGCCUACCAAGGCGACGACGGGUAGCCGGCCUGAGAGGGCGACCGGCCACACUGGGACUGAGACACGGCCCAGACUCCUACGGGAGGCAG
rnacentral:rRNA from 1 species